CGAGCGAGGAGAGAGAAAAAGAGAGUUGCUUGGUCUAGCAGUGGGUAGUAUAUGGAGCACAUGAGUCAUCAAGAGCCCAGCAACAUGUAGAAAGAACAACCUCAAUGAUUAUAUUCAAUCUGGAUUCAAAGCGACACAUUCCACACCGUCUGCCCUUCUGUUCAUCACUGAAAAACUCCAUGCUGCGAGAUCGGCUAAACUAUCAUCUGUUGGACCUCUUAUCCUCCUGGACCUCUCAGCAGCAUUUGACAUGAAGAAGAAAAAAAAGAGAUCAAACCAGACCCUGUCCUUCUAAUAUCUAAGGUAAUACUCACCACAUA